CGCUGGCGGCGUGCCUAACACAUGCAAGUCGAGCGAAUGAAGUUUCUUCGGGAACGGAUUUAGCGGCGGACGGGUGAGUAACACGUGGGCAACCUGCCUCAUAGAGGGGAAUAGCCUUCCGAAAGGGAGAUUAAUACCGCAUAAGAUUGUAGUACCGCAUGGUACAGCAAUUAAGGAGCAAUCCGCUAUGAGAUGGGGCCCGCGGCGCAUUAGCUAGUUGGUGAGGUAACGGCUCACCAAGGCGACGAUGCGUAGCCGACCUGANAGGGUGAUCGGCCACAUUGGGACUGAGACACGGCCCAGACUCCUACGGGAGGCAGCAGUGGGGAAUAUUGCACAAUGGGGGAAACCCUGACGCAGCAACGCCGCGUGAAGGAUGAAGGUCUUCGGAUUGUAAACUUUGUCUUAUGGGAAGAAAAAAUGACGGUACCAUAGGAGGAAGCCACGGCUAACUACGUG
rnacentral:rRNA from 1 species